GUGAUUGCUUCGGCAGCACAUAUAUUCAAAUUGGAACAAUGCAGAGAAGAUUAGCAUGGACCCUGAGCAGGGAGGAGAUGCAAAUUCAUAAAGGGUUCCAUAUUUUU
ensembl:snRNA U6 U6 spliceosomal RNA